rnacentral:rRNA from 1 species
UUAAGCGACUAAGCGUACACGGUGGAUGCCCUGGCAGUCAGAGGCGAUGAAGGACGUGCUAAUCUGCGAUAAGCGUCGGUAAGGUGAUAUGAACCGUUAUAACCGGCGAUUUCCGAAUGGGGAAACCCAGUGUGUUUCGACACACUAUCAUUAACUGAAUCCAUAGGUUAAUGAGGCGAACCGGGGGAACUGAAACAUCUAAGUACCCCGAGGAAAAGAAAUCAACCGAGAUUCCCCCAGUAGCGGCGAGCGAACGGGGAGCAGCCCAGAGCCUGAAUCAGUGUGUGUGUUAGUGGAAGCGUCUGGAAAGGCGCGCGAUACAGGGUGACAGCCCCGUACACAAAAAUGCACAUGCUGUGAGCUCGAUGAGUAGGGCGGGACACGUGGUAUCCUGUCUGAAUAUGGGGGGACCAUCCUCCAAGGCUAAAUACUCCUGACUGACCGAUAGUGAACCAGUACCGUGAGGGAAAGGCGAAAAGAACCCCGGCGAGGGGAGUGAAAAAGAACCUGAAACCGUGUACGUACAAGCAGUGGGAGCACGCUUAGGCGUGUGACUGCGUACCUUUUGUAUAAUGGGUCAGCGACUUAUAUUCUGUAGCAAGGUUAACCGAAUAGGGGAGCCGAAGGGAAACCGAGUCUUAACUGGGCGUUAAGUUGCAGGGUAUAGACCCGAAACCCGGUGAUCUAGCCAUGGGCAGGUUGAAGGUUGGGUAACACUAACUGGAGGACCGAACCGACUAAUGUUGAAAAAUUAGCGGAUGACUUGUGGCUGGGGGUGAAAGGCCAAUCAAACCGGGAGAUAGCUGGUUCUCCCCGAAAGCUAUUUAGGUAGCGCCUCGUGAAUUCAUCUCCGGGGGUAGAGCACUGUUUCGGCAAGGGGGUCAUCCCGACUUACCAACCCGAUGCAAACUGCGAAUACCGGAGAAUGUUAUCACGGGAGACACACGGCGGGUGCUAACGUCCGUCGUGAAGAGGGAAACAACCCAGACCGCCAGCUAAGGUCCCAAAGUCAUGGUUAAGUGGGAAACGAUGUGGGAAGGCCCAGACAGCCAGGAUGUUGGCUUAGAAGCAGCCAUCAUUUAAAGAAAGCGUAAUAGCUCACUGGUCGAGUCGGCCUGCGCGGAAGAUGUAACGGGGCUAAACCAUGCACCGAAGCUGCGGCAGCGACACUAUGUGUUGUUGGGUAGGGGAGCGUUCUGUAAGCCUGCGAAGGUGUACUGUGAGGUAUGCUGGAGGUAUCAGAAGUGCGAAUGCUGACAUAAGUAACGAUAAAGCGGGUGAAAAGCCCGCUCGCCGGAAGACCAAGGGUUCCUGUCCAACGUUAAUCGGGGCAGGGUGAGUCGACCCCUAAGGCGAGGCCGAAAGGCGUAGUCGAUGGGAAACAGGUUAAUAUUCCUGUACUUGGUGUUACUGCGAAGGGGGGACGGAGAAGGCUAUGUUGGCCGGGCGACGGUUGUCCCGGUUUAAGCGUGUAGGCUGGUUUUCCAGGCAAAUCCGGAAAAUCAAGGCUGAGGCGUGAUGACGAGGCACUACGGUGCUGAAGCAACAAAUGCCCUGCUUCCAGGAAAAGCCUCUAAGCAUCAGGUAACAUCAAAUCGUACCCCAAACCGACACAGGUGGUCAGGUAGAGAAUACCAAGGCGCUUGAGAGAACUCGGGUGAAGGAACUAGGCAAAAUGGUGCCGUAACUUCGGGAGAAGGCACGCUGAUAUGUAGGUGAAGCGACUUGCUCGUGGAGCUGAAAUCAGUCGAAGAUACCAGCUGGCUGCAACUGUUUAUUAAAAACACAGCACUGUGCAAACACGAAAGUGGACGUAUACGGUGUGACGCCUGCCCGGUGCCGGAAGGUUAAUUGAUGGGGUUAGCGGUAACGCGAAGCUCUUGAUCGAAGCCCCGGUAAACGGCGGCCGUAACUAUAACGGUCCUAAGGUAGCGAAAUUCCUUGUCGGGUAAGUUCCGACCUGCACGAAUGGCGUAAUGAUGGCCAGGCUGUCUCCACCCGAGACUCAGUGAAAUUGAACUCGCUGUGAAGAUGCAGUGUACCCGCGGCAAGACGGAAAGACCCCGUGAACCUUUACUAUAGCUUGACACUGAACAUUGAGCCUUGAUGUGUAGGAUAGGUGGGAGGCUUUGAAGUGUGGACGCCAGUCUGCAUGGAGCCGGCCUUGAAAUACCACCCUUUAAUGUUUGAUGUUCUAACGUUGGCCCCUGAUCGGGGUUGCGGACAGUGUCUGGUGGGUAGUUUGACUGGGGCGGUCUCCUCCUAAAGAGUAACGGAGGAGCACGAAGGUUGGCUAAUCCUGGUCGGACAUCAGGAGGUUAGUGCAAUGGCAUAAGCCAGCUUGACUGCGAGCGUGACGGCGCGAGCAGGUGCGAAAGCAGGUCAUAGUGAUCCGGUGGUUCUGAAUGGAAGGGCCAUCGCUCAACGGAUAAAAGGUACUCCGGGGAUAACAGGCUGAUACCGCCCAAGAGUUCAUAUCGACGGCGGUGUUUGGCACCUCGAUGUCGGCUCAUCACAUCCUGGGGCUGAAGUAGGUCCCAAGGGUAUGGCUGUUCGCCAUUUAAAGUGGUACGCGAGCUGGGUUUAGAACGUCGUGAGACAGUUCGGUCCCUAUCUGCCGUGGGCGCUGGAGAACUGAGGGGGGCUGCUCCUAGUACGAGAGGACCGGAGUGGACGCAUCACUGGUGUUCGGGUUGUCAUGCCAAUGGCACUGCCCGGUAGCUAAAUGCGGAAGAGAUAAGUGCUGAAAGCAUCUAAGCACGAAACUUGCCCCGAGAUGAGUUCUCCCUGAGACUUUAAGUCUCCUGAAGGAACGUUGAAGACGACGACGUUGAUAGGCCGGGUGUGUAAGCGCAGCGAUGCGUUGAGCUAACCGGUACUAAUGAACCGUGAGGCUUAACCUU